rnacentral:rRNA from 1 species
AUUGAACGCUGGCGGCAGGCCUAACACAUGCAAGUCGAACGGUAACAGGAAGCAGCUUGCUGCUUCGCUGACGAGUGGCGGAUGGGUGAGUAAUGUCUGGGAAACUGCCUGAUGGAGGGGGAUAACUACUGGAAACGGUAGCUAAUACCGCAUAACGUCGCAAGACCAAAGAGGGGGACCUUAGGGCCUCUUGCCAUCGGAUGUGCCCAGAUGGGAUUAGCUAGUAGGCGGGGUAACGGCUCACCUAGGCGACGAUCCCUAGCUGGUCUGAGAGGAUGACCAGCCACACUGGAACUGAGACACGGUCCAGACUCCUACGGGAGGCAGCAGUGGGGAAUAUUGCACAAUGGGCGCAAUCCUGAUGCAGCCAUGCCGCGUGUAUGAAGAAGGCCUUCGGGUUGUAAAGUACUUUCAGCGGGGAGGAAGGGAGUAAAGUUAAUACCUUUGCUCAUUGACGUUACCCGCAGAAGAAGCACCGGCUAGCUCCGUG